rnacentral:lncRNA from 1 species
CACGAUUGAGCCUAACUUUCUCCACGUGUAAUAUUUUUCAUCUCGACUAAGCCAAAUAUGAUUUGACUCACCUAGAAAAUCUUGAGAAGAUUUCUCUCAGUCUAAAUGAAGCUUGUCUAGCUCAGAAAAGGCUUGUCUUAAUUCAUGAGAUGAAUUUAAGACAAGCACCUGCUAAUUUUUGGGACAUCUGUCAAAUGUUGACAUAUGGGUCUUAAAUUGAAGGUCACUUGGCAAGAACUCAUUGAAGGAUUUUUAUGGAGUGUCUACAUACCAAAUCUACAUUAAAUUAGGCACCA